rnacentral:rRNA from 1 species
GAGAUGUGGGUAGUCCGCACGAGCGCACCUCACUUUUAGUUGCCAUCAUUAAGUUGGGCACUCUGAAAGAACUGCCAGUGAUAAGCUGGAGGAAGGUGGGGAUGACGUCAAGUCCUCAUGGCCCUUACGUGUUGGGCUACACACGUGCUACAAUGGCAUCUACAACAGGAAGCAAAACGGCAACGUUAAGCAAAUCCCGAAAAGAUGCCUCAGUUCGGAUUGCACUCUGCAACUCGAGUGCAUGAAGCUGGAAUUACUAGUAAUCGUGGAUCAGCGUGCCACGGUGAAUGCGUUCCCGGGUCUCGUACACACCGCCCGUCACACCAUGGGAGUUGGUUCUACCUUAAGGCAAGGUUUUAAACCCUUGACCACGGUAUAGUCAGCGACUGGGGUGAAGUCGUAACAAGGUAGCCGUAGGGGAACCUGCGGCUGGAUUACCUCCUUUCU